rnacentral:sRNA from 1 species
AAAAACAAACAAAAAA